GAUGAAGAACGUAGCGAAAUGCGAUAAGUAAUGUGAAUUGCAGAAUUCAGAGAAUCAUCGAAUCUUUGAACGCACAUUGCGCCCGCCAGUAUUCUGGCGGGCAUGCCUGUUCGAGCGUCAUUUCAACCAUCAAGCCCCCGGCUUGUGUUGGGGACCUGCGGCUGCCGCAGGCCCUGAAAACCAGUGGCGGGCUCGCUAGUCACUCCGAGCGUAGUAAUACAUCUCGCUCAGGGCGUGCUGCGGGUUCCGGCCGUUAAAAAGCCUUAUUUACCCAAGGUUGACCUCGGAUCAGGUAGGAAGACCCGCUGAACUUAAGCAUAUCAAUAAGCGGAGGA
rnacentral:misc_RNA from 1 species